rnacentral:rRNA from 1 species
UACGGGGGGGGCAAGCGUUGUUCGGAAUUACUGGGCGUAAAGGGUUCGUAGGUGGCUUGCUAAGUCAGACGUGAAAUCCCUCAGCUUAACUGGGGAACUGCGUCUGAGACUGGCAAGCUUGAGUGCAGGAGAGGAAUGCGGAAUUCCAGGUGUAGCGGUGAAAUGUGUAGAUAUUGGGAGGAACACCAGUGGCGAAGGCGGCUCACUGGACCGGAACUGACGCUGAGGCGCGAAAGCGUGGGGAGCAAACAGG